UACAGAGGUCUCAAGCGUUGUUCGGAUUCAUUGGGCGUAAAGGGUGCGUAGGCGGCGCGGUAAGUCGGGUGUGAAAUUUCGGAGCUUAACUCCGAAACUGCAUUCGAUACUGCCGUGCUUGAGGACUGGAGAGGAGACUGGAAUUUACGGUGUAGCGGUGAAAUGCGUAGAUAUCGUAAGGAAGACCAGUGGCGAAGGCGGGUCUCU
rnacentral:rRNA from 1 species